UACGUAGGGGGCAAGCGUUGUCCGGAAUUAUUGGGCGUAAAGCGCGCGCAGGCGGCUCUUUAAGUCUGGUGUUUAAUCCCGAGGCUCAACUUCGGGUCGCACUGGAAACUGGAGAGCUUGAGUGCAGAAGAGGAGAGUGGAAUUCCACGUGUAGCGGUGAAAUGCGUAGAGAUGCGGAGGAACACCAGUGGCGAAGGCGGCCAUCUGGACGGAUACUGACGCUGAGACGCGAAAGCGUGGGGAGCAAACAGG
rnacentral:rRNA from 1 species